rnacentral:misc_RNA from 1 species
GAUGAAGAACGCAGCAAAAUGCGAUAAGUAAUGUGAAUUGCAGAAUUCAGUGAAUCAUCGAAUCUUUGAACGCACAUUGCGCCCGCUGGUAUUCCGGCGGGCAUGCCUGUUCGAGCGUCAUUUCAACCCUCAAGCCCCCGGGUUUGGUGUUGGGGAUCGGCUCUGCCCUUCUGGGCGGUGCCGCCCCCGAAAUACAUUGGCGGUCUCGCUGCAGCCUCCAUUGCGUAGUAGCUAACACCUCGCAACUGGAACGCGGCGCGGCCAUGCCGUAAAACCCCAACUUCUGAAUGUUGACCUCGGAUCAGGUAGGAAUACCCGCUGAACUUAAGCAUAUCAAUAGCGGAGA